rnacentral:rRNA from 1 species
CAAAUACCAAGGCGCUUGAGAGAACUCGGGUGAAGGAACUAGGCAAAAUGGCACCGUAACUUCGGGAGAAGGUGCGCCGGUGAGGGUGAAGCAUUUACUGCGUAAGCCCACGCCGGUCGAAGAUACCAGGCCGCUGCGACUGUUUAUUAAAAACACAGCACUCUGCAAACACGAAAGUGGACGUAUAGGGUGUGACGCCUGCCCGGUGCCGGAAGGUUAAUUGAUGGGGUUAGCUAACGCGAAGCUCUUGAUCGAAGCCCCGGUAAACGGCGGCCGUAACUAUAACGGUCCUAAGGUAGCGAAAUUCCUUGUCGGGUAAGUUCCGACCUGCACGAAUGGCGUAACGAUGGCGGCGCUGUCUCCACCCGAGACUCAGUGAAAUUGAAAUCGCUGUGAAGAUGCAGUGUAUCCGCGGCUAGACGGAAAGACCCCGUGAACCUUUACUAUAGCUUUGCACUGGACUUUGAAUUUGCUUGUGUAGGAUAGGUGGGAGGCUUUGAAGCGUGGACGCCAGUCUGCGUGGAGCCAACCUUGAAAUACCACCCUGGCAACUUUGAGGUUCUAACUCAGGUCCGUUAUCCGGAUCGAGGACAGUGUAUGGUGGGUAGUUUGACUGGGGCGGUCUCCUCCUAAAGAGUAACGGAGGAGUACGAAGGUGCGCUCAGACCGGUCGGAAAUCGGUCGUAGAGUAUAAAGGCAAAAGCGCGCUUGACUGCGAGACAGACACGUCGAGCAGGUACGAAAGUAGGUCUUAGUGAUCCGGUGGUUCUGUAUGGAAGGGCCAUCGCUCAACGGAUAAAAGGUACUCCGGGGAUAACAGGCUGAUACCGCCCAAGAGUUCAUAUCGACGGCGGUGUUUGGCACCUCGAUGUCGGCUCAUCACAUCCUGGGGCUGAAGCCGGUCCCAAGGGUAUGGCUGUUCGCCAUUUAAAGUGGUACGCGAGCUGGGUUUAGAACGUCGUGAGACAGUUCGGUCCCUAUCUGCCGUGGACGUUUGAGAUUUGAGAGGGGCUGCUCCUAGUACGAGAGGACCGGAGUGGACGAACCUCUGGUGUUCCGGUUGUCACGCCAGUGGCAUUGCCGGGUAGCUAUGUUCGGAAUAGAUAAUCGCUGAAAGCAUCUAAGCGGGAAACUAGCCUCAAGAUGAGAUCUCACUGGAACCUUGAGUUCCCUGAAGGGCCGUCGAAGACUACGACGUUGAUAGGUGGGGUGUGUAAGCGCUGUGAGGCGUUGAGCUAACCCAUACUAAUUGCCCGUGAGGCUUGACC